ACCCCUGAAUUUAUUAGAAUUCGACCCUAGCUCCUAUCCUCUAUCUUAUCCAGACGCUCCGUCUGGAAUGCCCUUCCCGCCGUUCCUCCCGCCGCAUGGCCUUCGCCGGCCCUCCGCCACGCAGUGGUGCGCCCGAGCUUGGGAGCGCCGCUGCUGCGUCCGCGCUGGUCCUGGAUCCUAGACGGCGAGCCUCCCCGACCUUUGAUCCCCUCGCUUCAACGGCGGUGGCACCCGUCCUUAAUAUUGACAGCCCGAUUCCGGCCAACUCCGACGCCUUCCCCGGUCUGCCGCUCAUGGGAACGGAUCACUUCGCGCCCCCUACUGAUUCUCCCUGUAGCCGGCCUUCCUCGCCACCCCGGCGAGCCGCUUGGCCACCGAGGAGACGAGUUGCGCCGCCCGUGAGCACCUCUCCUGAUUCCUCUCUUCCCUCUCCCGCAUCGGCCGCGCGAGUAGGAGCACGCCGCCUGCCGCGUGCCGUCGGCCAUGGAUGCGGCCUAGAACUACUACCGCCCCUGCCCUGCCGUGCGCCGACGGCCAUGGACCAGUUGCGCGAGGAGGAGCACGCCACGGCGGCCGCGCAUGAAUGCGGCCGAGAACUGCUGCCGCCCCUGAACUGCAGCCGCGACGCGCCGCACCUGUCGUGCGCCCCUGUCCUGGGCAUGAUGCUGCUGCCGCUCGGUGCUGCCGCUGGGUCGUGCUGCUGCUCGCCUCUCCGGUCCGCCGGUGCCUCCCGCUCGGGCGGCGUCCCGGGCUGACGGGGACGCGCAGCGUGCGUCCGAGCUGCUGCUCGCAUCGCGUCGCGACCGCUGCUGGACCCGAGGGAGCAGCCGGCUGCGCGCGUCCGGGGGAGCGCCCGAGCAGCUCGCGUUCGAGCUGACGGCUGUGUGCGCGCCCAAGGGAGCAGCUACCCAGUGCAGCGGCAUCAGCUACCCAAUGAAUGCCCACAACUUUUGUUUAUUAGUUUUUUGUCUAUUGCUGGUUGGUGUAAUCUGCAAGAAAGUGACAGAAUAGUCUAUUUAUCAAGUAUAUGAAAGUCUGAAGUCCCUUUUGAACAAAAGGUUGAUCAUAAGCGAACCAUGUUGGAUCCAAACAAUUUCAUUGUUCAGGAUACGCCU